rnacentral:rRNA from 1 species
GACGAACGCUGGCGGCGUGCUUAACACGUGCAAGUCGAGCGAUGAAGCACCUUCGGGUGUGAAUUAGCGGCGAACGGGUGAGGAACACGUGAGAAAUCUGCCUUCAACACUGGGAUAACUCCGGGAAACCGGGGCUAAUACCGGAUAUGAAACCUGCGGGCAUCCGCGGGUUUGGAAAGUUUUUCGGUUGAAGAUGAUCUCGCGGCCUAUCAGCUUGUUGGUGAGGUAAUGGCUCACCAAGGCGACGACGGGUAGCCGGCCUGAGAGGGCGACCGGCCACACGGGGGCUGAGAACCGGCCCAGACUCCUACGGGAGGCAGCAGUGGGGAAUAUUGGGCAAUGGAGGAAGCUCUGACCCAGCGACGCCGCGUGCGGGAUGAAGGCCUUCGGGUUGUAAACCGCUUUCAGCAGGGAAGAAGCGAAAGUGACGGUACCUGCAGAAGAAGCACCGGCUAACUAUGUGCCAGCCGCCGCCGUAA